rnacentral:rRNA from 1 species
UGGGGAAUCUUGCACAAUGGGGGAAACCCUGAUGUAGCGACGCCGCGUGAGUGAUGAAGCCCUUCGGGGUGUAAAGCUCUUUCGGCAGGGACGAUAAUGACGGUACCUGAAGAAGAAGCUGCGGCUAACUACGUGCCAGCAGCCGCGGUAAUACGUAGGCAGCGAGCGUUGUUCGGAGUUACUGGGCGUAAAGAGUGCGUAGGCGGUUUUCUAAGUUUGGUGUGAAAUCUCCCGGCUCAACUGGGAGGGUGCGCCGAAGACUGGAAGGCUAGAGUAUGGGAGAGGUAAGCGGAAUUCCUGGUGUAGCGGUGAAAUGCGUAGAUAUCAGGAGGAACACCUGCGGUGUAGACGGCUUACUGGACCAUCACUGACGCUGAGGCACGAAAGCGUGGGUAGCAAACAGGAUUAGAUACCC